rnacentral:rRNA from 1 species
AGUGAACGCUGGCGGUAGGCCUAACACAUGCAAGUCGAACGGCAGCACAGUAAGAGCUUGCUCUUACGGGUGGCGAGUGGCGGACGGGUGAGGAAUACAUCGGAAUCUACUUUUUCGUGGGGGAUAACGUAGGGAAACUUACGCUAAUACCGCAUACGACCUACGGGUGAAAGCAGGGGAUCUUCGGACCUUGCGCGAUUGAAUGAGCCGAUGUCGGAUUAGCUAGUUGGCGGGGUAAAGGCCCACCAAGGCGACGAUCCGUAGCUGGUCUGAGAGGAUGAUCAGCCACACUGGAACUGAGCCGCGGUCCAGACUCCUACGGGAGGCAGCAGUGGGGAAUAUUGGACAAUGGGCGCAAGCAUGAUCCAGCCAUACCGCGUGGGUGAAGAAGGCCUUCGGGUUGUAAAGCCCUUUUGUUGGGAAAGAAAAGCAGCAGGUUAAUACCCCGCUGUUCUGACGGUACCCAAAGAAUAAGCACCGGCUAACUUCGUG